AAGCGUAAUAGCUCACUAGUCGAGUCGGCCUGCGCGGAAGAUGUAACGGGGCUCAAAUAUAGCACCGAAGCUGCGGCAUCAGACGAAAGUCUGUUGGGUAGGGGAGCGUUCUGUAAGCGGAUGAAGGUGAAUCGAGAGGUUUGCUGGACGUAUCAGAAGUGCGAAUGCUGACAUAAGUAACGAUAAAACGGGUGAAAAACCCGUUCGCCGGAAGACCAAGGGUUCCUGUCCAACGUUAAUCGGGGCAGGGUGAGUCGGCCCCUAAGGCGAGGCUGAAAAGCGUAGUCGAUGGGAAACGGGUUAAUAUUCCCGUACUUGGAUAAACUGCGAUGUGGGGACGGAGCAGGUUAGGUUAUCGCACUGUUGGAUAUGUGCGUUUAAGUUUGUAGGUGGGAAGUUUAGGCAAAUCCGGACUUCUAUUCAACACUGAGAGAUGAUGACGAGGCUCUACGGAGCUGAAGUAACCGAUACCACACUUCCAGGAAAAGCCACUAAGCUUCAGGUUUAUCUAAACCGUACUGAAAACCGACACAGGUGGUCAGGUAGAGAAUACUCAGGCGCUUGAGAGAACUCGGGUGAAGGAACUAGGCAAAAUAGCACCGUAACUUCGGGAGAAGGUGCGCCGGCGUAGAUUGUAGUCCCUUGCGGAUGAAGGUUGAACCGGUCGAAGAUACCAGCUGGCUGCAACUGUUUAUUAAAAACACAGCACUCUGCAAACACGAAAGUGGACGUAUAGGGUGUGAUGCCUGCCCGGUGCUGGAAGGUUAAUUGAUGGUGUAAUCGAAAGAGAAGCUCCUGAUCGAAGCCCCAGUAAACGGCGGCCGUAACUAUAACGGUCCUAAGGUAGCGAAAUUCCUUGUCGGGUAAGUUCCGACCUGCACGAAUGGCAUAAUGAUGGCCAGGCUGUCUCCACCCGAGACUCAGUGAAAUUGAAAUCGCCGUGAAGAUGCGGUGUACCCGCGGCUAGACGGAAAGACCCCGUGAACCUUUACUAUAGCUUGACACUGAACAUUGAAUUUUGAUGUGUAGGAUAGGUGGGAGCCUUUGAAGCAGUCACGCCAGUGAUUGUGGAGGCGUCCUUGAAAUACCACCCUUUAACGUUUGAUGUUCUAACGAAGAUUGCGAAACGUGGUCUCGGACAGUGUCUGGUGGGUAGUUUGACUGGGGCGGUCUCCUCCCAAAGAGUAACGGAGGAGCACGAAGGUUUGCUAAUGACGGUCGGACAUCGUCAGGUUAGUGCAAUGGUAUAAGCAAGCUUAACUGCGAGACAGACAAGUCGAGCAGGUACGAAAGUAGGUCAUAGUGAUCCGGUGGUUCUGAAUGGAAGGGCCAUCGCUCAACGGAUAAAAGGUACUCCGGGGAUAACAGGCUGAUACCGCCCAAGAGUUCAUAUCGACGGCGGUGUUUGGCACCUCGAUGUCGGCUCAUCACAUCCUGGGGCUGAAGUAGGUCCCAAGGGUAUGGCUGUUCGCCAUUUAAAGUGGUACGCGAGCUGGGUUUAGAACGUCGUGAGACAGUUCGGUCCCUAUCUGCCGUGGGCGCUGGAGAACUGAGGGGGGCUGCUCCUAGUACGAGAGGACCGGAGUGGACGCAUCACUGGUGUUCGGGUUGUCAUGCCAAUGGCACUGCCCGGUAGCUAAAUGCGGAAGAGAUAAGUGCUGAAAGCAUCUAAGCACGAAACUUGCCCCGAGAUGAGUUCUCCCUGACUCCUUGA
rnacentral:rRNA from 1 species